GCUUUAGCGCGGUGGUCCCACCUGACCCCAUGCCGAACUCAGAAGUGAAACGCCGUAGCGCCGAUGGUAGUGUGGGGUCUCCCCAUGUGAGAGUAGGGAACUGCCAGGC
rnacentral:rRNA from 7 species